GUUUCUGGAGAAAAUACACGUACAGCUAACUACUGAAGAGCUGUACCACAGGCCAAUACCUCUUCUUGCUCCUUACUUGUCGGACAGAAUGUUUUGUUUUGUUUUGUUUUUUUGUUUUAGUAUAGAGUAGAAAACUGACACAGCAUGGUAGGAAGGGUGGUGACAAAGGCUGUAUAUAUUUAGGUGAAAGAAGCCAGAAGUUAUGGUUUCCAGCUUUCCUCAUUAUUGGCCAGUAUAUGGCACAGUCAGAAAAGGAACUGGUGGUUGGGAAUGGACCAAGAGAAGAGGAAGAAGCUGAUGGGAGGAGGAAGAACAGCUGUACAUUGUGGCUUGUUAAGAUGUACAUUUACGGCAGCGAAGGGGCUCGGGGCAGCUGAGUAGCAGGCACGAUGUCCGGUCACAAGGGUGGUAAGAAGAAGCCUCUGAAGCAGCCCAAGAAGCAAACCAAGGACAUGGAUGAGCCAGUGGCGGGAUUAAGAAAUCUGGCAAAAAGUAGCCAUUCCUGUGUAGAUAAGAUGAUGAUUCCUGUUGGUUUCUUUCAUGCUUUGUGACAUCUGCAUUUCCUACUUCAACAUCUGUAGCAGCCUGCAGCCAAGAUUAAGUGUUAUCUUAAUGAGUCUAUUGUACAUUGUAAUAAACUUUUUUUAAAAAUCA
rnacentral:lncRNA from 1 species